UGUAUGAAAUAAUAUCACUCAAGUUGAUAUUAACAUUAGUAUAGUAAUGUUUGAACAAAGAUUAGAUAUGUCAAACACUGUUGAUGAUAUAUCCAACAUAAUUUGCCUAGUCCUAAACAAAAAGGAAACAUUUAUGAGAAGUAUACUAAGUCCUCCAACUGAAAUGAAAGAAAACAAGUAUAAGCUAACAAUUUAAAACUUAAAUGCAUAACCCUGAUCACACAACAGGUUUUGAACAAAUCCAUGGCUGUGGAUGGCAGGCUCACUUCAGCAAGGAUUUUUUUUUUUUUUUCGCCAUGGCAAACGGAUGCACAUAAAAUCCUUUUAGAAAGCUAUUCCUUGGAUGAUUUGUUGAUAAGUGACUUGUGGAUGUGAGGGAUGACUCCACCACCAGCAAUGGUGCCCUUGAUAAGAGUAUCAAGUUCUUCAUCACCUCGAAUUGCAAGUUGCAAAUGCCUGGGAGUGAUACGUUUCACCUUGAGAUCUUUGCUAGCAUUUCCAGCCAACUCCAACACCUCCGCAGUCAAAUACUCCAAAAUAGCAGCAGAAUAAACAGCAGCCGUUGCUCCUACCCUUCCAUGAGCCGUGGUCCUUGACUUCAGCAAUCGAUGGAUCCGGCCAACUGGGAACUGCAAGUUACGCCAAAGGACACAGUUGAAAUGUGACUAUCAUCCCCCAUUGAGGUUGCAAUUCAUAAUAACUCCACCAAAGAUCACCAAAAAAAACUGUCUAGAGAAAAAAGGUAGAAGAGAAAAGAAGGGACAAAGAGCAUAGAUACGCAAGGGGAAGGGAACCAGUCAGGUGAAAUCAAAUCAGAAAGUGCUACCCACCCCCCAGUACCUGAUAAAAAAUAAAUAAGUGUGGGGGGUGGGUGGUUGGGGAGGGGGGUGGUGAAGUCGGGGAACAAAGAUGCAAAACCAGAAAUUCCCAGCCUUCAAGAUUCACGCAUGUUUCCUAUGUUGACAAAGUAGCUUUUUGCAGAAACACCACUAGAUCACCACUAAACAAAUUCACUUAGGAGUUCCCAAAGUUUUUCCCAAUUGAUAACACUCUAAUUAAUCAACAGUUAUUAAUAUGCAAUAAACUUCUUAAAAGCAUGGUAAUUGUGUCAACAAAUUUAUACAACAUAUUUCACCUGACGUGCAUAAAGUAUUCACUAGUUAUCACAGAGUAAACAGUUGAGAAAAAUGUGAAUCUCAUAUAUUGCAAUCAAUGAGCACAGUGUUUAUAUACACCCCAGAGAAAAAUGUCCAGCUGUAUUAUAGCUGAGCUGGCAAAACUGAAAGAAUAAAAUAAAUACUAAACUAAACUAAUUUCUUUUCCUAAUUAACUUCUCUGCUGCAACUCUUUGU
rnacentral:misc_RNA from 1 species